ACAGGGUGUUCCGCAUAAUCCAUUCCCGAUGUAUAGCACAUACUUGCAAGCCAAUAGCAGAAGUGACCAGCAACAUUAUCAUCAACUUUAGAAUUCUUCGCGAAAUUAAUACAUGUCCAGUUAUUAACUGUCCCACCAUUGACCAUUCUCUUAUUCAUCAUAUUCCACUGCCCAACUCUAGGUAAACAGUCCCUCUCCUGGCCACUUUCAUGAUAUUUCAGCCAUGGAGGAGGCAGAAUUCGUGCAUCAACAGAAGCAAGACUACUACUAAUGUUUAUGCCAAAUUCCCGUGCAUAAGGGUCCUCAUGGUAAGCAUUCAGACCAACAGUCUGCACAAUGUCUCGCUCACGAAGAUUUGGCCGUUGACAGGUGACUUUAAGAAGUUCUUUGAUCUGAUAUUUACUUAACCUCUUUGAGUACCUUUGACCUGGAACAAUUUUACAGACCUCCAUUGGAAGAUAAUUUGGUCUCUGUGCAUUACCAACUUGCAGGCAGGGCCAUGCAGUCAUUUGAAUAUUG
rnacentral:misc_RNA from 1 species